rnacentral:rRNA from 1 species
AUUGAACGCUGGCGGCAGGCUUUAACACAUGCAAGUCGAGCGGGGAAAGGUAGCUUGCUACCUGACCUAGCGGCGGACGGGUGAGUAAUGCUUAGGAAUCUGCCUAUUAGUGGGGGACAACAUUCCGAAAGGAAUGCUAAUACCGCAUACGCCCUACGGGGGGGGAAAAGCAGGGGAUCUUCGGACCUUGCGCUAAUAGAUGAGCCUAAGUCAGAUUAGCUAGUUGGUGGGGUAAAGGCCUACCAAGGCGACGAUCUGUAGCGGGUCUGAGAGGAUGAUCCGCCACACUGGGACUGAGACACGGCCCAGACUCCUACGGGAGGCAGCAGUGGGGAAUAUUGGACAAUGUGCGAAAGCCUGAUCCAGCCAUGCCGCGUGUGUGAAGAAGGCCUUUUGGUUGUAAAGCACUUUAAGCGAGGAGGAGGCUACUUAGAUUAAUACUCUAGGAUAGUGGACGUUACUCGCAGAAUAAGCACCGGCUAACUCUGUG